AUUGAACGCUGGCGGCAGGCCCAACACAUGCGAGUCGAACGAGUGGCGGACUGGUGAGCAAUGUCUGGGAAACUGCCUGAUGGAGGGGGCAGACUACUGGAAACGGUAGCUAAUACCGCUUACCAUCAGAUGGGCCCAGAUGGGAGUAGCUAGUUGGUGGGGUAACGGCUCACCAAGGCGACGAUCCCUAGCUGGUCUGAGAGGAUGACCAGCCACACUGGGACUGAGACACGGUCCAGACUCCUACGUGAGGCAGCAGUAGGGAAUAUUGCGCAAUGGGCGCAAGCCUGAUCCAGCCAUGCCGCGUGUAUGAAGAAGGCCUUCGGAUUGUAAAGUACUUUCAGCGGGGAGGCGUUACCCGAAGAAGAAGCACCGGCUAACUCCGUGCCAGCAGCCGCGGUAAUAC
rnacentral:rRNA from 1 species